rnacentral:rRNA from 1 species
GUUGUAUAGUCAAGUAAUUAAGUGCAUGUGGUGGAUGCCUUGGCAGUCAGAGGCGAUGAAAGACGUGAUAGCCUGCGAAAAGCUCCGGGGAGGCGGCAAAUAUCCUUUGAUCCGGAGAUGUCUGAAUGGGGGAACCCACCUACUUUAAGGUAGGUAUUGCAACAUGAAUACAUAGUGUUGCAAGGCGAACGAGGGGAAGUGAAACAUCUCAGUACCCUUAGGAAAAGAAAUCAAUUGAGAUUCCCUCAGUAGCGGCGAGCGAACGGGGAUCAGCCCAUUAAGUUAUGUGUGUUUUAGUGGAACGCUCUGGGAAGUGCGAACGUAGAGGGUGAUAUUCCCGUACACGAAAGGGCACACAUAAUGAUGACGAGUAGGGCGAGGCACGUGAAACCUUGUCUGAAUAUGGGGGGACCAUCCUCCAAGGCUAAAUACUCCUGACUGACCGAUAGUGAACCAGUACCGUGAGGGAAAGGCGAAAAGAACCCCUGUGAGGGGAGUGAAAUAGAUCCUGAAACCGCAUGCAUACAAGCAGUGGGAGCACCUUCGUGGUGUGACUGCGUACCUUUUGUAUAAUGGGUCAGCGACUUAUAUUCAGUAGCGAGGUUAACCGUAUAGGGGAGCCGUAGAGAAAUCGAGUCUUAAUAGGGCGUUUAGUUGCUGGGUAUAGACCCGAAACCAGGCGAUCUAUCCAUGAGCAGGUUGAAGGUUGGGUAACACUAACUGGAGGACCGAACCCACUGUCGUUGAAAAGCCAGGGGAUGACUUGUGGAUAGGGGUGAAAGGCUAAUCAAGCCUGGUGAUAGCUGGUUCUCCCCGAAAGCUAUUUAGGUAGCGCCUCGGACGAAUACCAUAGGGGGUAGAGCACUGUUUCGGCUAGGGGGUCAUCCCGACUUACCAAACCGAUGCAAACUCCGAAUACCUAUGAGUACUAUCCGGGAGACAGACUGCGGGUGCUAACGUCCGUAGUCAAGAGGAAAACAAUCCAGACCGCCAGCUAAGGCCCCAAAAUCAUAGUUAAGUGGGAAACGAUGUGGGAAGGCAUAGACAGCUAGGAGGUUGGCUUAGAAGCAGCCACCCUUUAAAGAAAGCGUAAUAGCUCACUAGUCGAGUCGGCCUGCGCGGAAGAUGUAACGGGGCUAAAACUAUGUGCCGAAGCUGCGGAUGUAUACUUUGUAUACGUGGUAGGGGAGCGUUCUGUAAGCCGAUGAAGGUGUGUUGAGAAGCAUGCUGGAGGUAUCAGAAGUGCGAAUGCUGACGUGAGUAACGACAAAACGGGUGAAAAACCCGUUCGCCGAAAGACCAAGGGUUCCAGUCCAACGUUAAUCGGGGCUGGGUGAGUCGACCCCUAAGGCGAGGCCGAAAGGCGUAGUCGAUGGGAAAAUGGUUAAUAUUCCAUUACUUCUGUGUAAUGCGAUGAGAGGACGGAGAAGGCUAAAUCAGCCUGGCGUUGGUUGUCCAGGUGAAAGGAUGUAGGCAUGUAUCUUAGGCAAAUCCGGGGUACUCUAUGCUGAGAUCUGAUAGCAAGCUGUACUUGUACAGCGAAGUGGUUGAUGCCAUGCUUCCAGGAAAAGUCUCUAAGCUUCAGUUGCACAGGAAUCGUACCCGAAACCGACACAGGUGGUCAGGUCGAGUAGACCAAGGCGCUUGAGAGAACUCUGCUGAAGGAACUAGGCAAAAUGGUACCGUAACUUCGGGAGAAGGUACGCUGUUGUUGGUGAUGGAACUCGCUUCCUGAGCUGACGACAGCCGCAGAAACCAGGCCGCUGCAACUGUUUAUUAAAAACAUAGCACUCUGCAAACACGAAAGUGGACGUAUAGGGUGUGAUGCCUGCCCGGUGCUGGAAGGUUAAUUGAUGGGGUUAGCGUAAGCGAAGCUCUUGAUCGAAGCCCCAGUAAACGGCGGCCGUAACUAUAACGGUCCUAAGGUAGCGAAAUUCCUUGUCGGGUAAGUUCCGACCUGCACGAAUGGCAUAAUGAUGGCGGCGCUGUCUCCAGCAGAGGCUCAGUGAAAUCGAAAUCGCUGUGAAGAUGCAGUGUACCCGCGGCUAGACGGAAAGACCCCGUGAACCUUUACUGCAGCUUGACACUGAACUUUGACCUUACUUGUGUAGGAUAGGUGGGAGGCUUUGAAGCUGGAACGCUAGUUCCAGUGGAGCCGUCCUUGAAAUACCACCCUGGUAAUGUUGAGGUUCUAACUCUGUCCCGUGAUCCGGGACGAGGACCGUGUCUGGUGGGUAGUUUGACUGGGGCGGUCUCCUCCUAAAGAGUAACGGAGGAGUACGAAGGUGCGCUCAGCGUGGUCGGAAAUCACGCGUAGAGUAUAAAGGCAAAAGCGCGCUUAACUGCGAGACCCACAAGUCGAGCAGGUACGAAAGUAGGUCUUAGUGAUCCGGUGGUUCUGUAUGGAAGGGCCAUCGCUCAACGGAUAAAAGGUACUCUGGGGAUAACAGGCUGAUACCGCCCAAGAGUUCAUAUCGACGGCGGUGUUUGGCACCUCGAUGUCGGCUCAUCUCAUCCUGGGGCUGAAGCAGGUCCCAAGGGUAUGGCUGUUCGCCAUUUAAAGAGGUACGCGAGCUGGGUUUAGAACGUCGUGAGACAGUUCGGUCCCUAUCUACCGUGGGCGCUGGAAAUUUGAGAGGAUCUGCUCCUAGUACGAGAGGACCAGAGUGGACGAACCUCUGGUGUACCGGUUGUGACGCCAGUCGCAUCGCCGGGUAGCUAUGUUCGGAAGGGAUAACCGCUGAAAGCAUCUAAGCGGGAAGCCUACCUCAAGAUAAGAUUUCCCUAGGACUUUAUGUCCUCUAAAGAGCCGUUCGAGACUAGGACGUUGAUAGGUUGGAUGUGGAAGCAUAGUGAUAUGUGAAGCUGACCAAUACUAAUUGCUCGUGAGGCUUGACUAUACAACACCCAAGCAGUUG